rnacentral:rRNA from 1 species
GAUGAACGCUGGCGGCGUGCUUAACACAUGCAAGUCGAACGGAAAGGCCCAAGCUUGCUUGGGUACUCGAGUGGCGAACGGGUGCGUAACACGUGGGUGAUCUGCCCUGCACUUCGGGAUAAGCCUGGGAAACUGGGUCUAAUACCGGAUAGGACGAUGGUUUGGAUGCCAUUCUGGAAAGUUUUUUCGGUGUGGGAUGGGCUCGCGGCCUAUCAGCUUUUUGGUGGGGUAGUGGCCUACCAAGGCGUCGACGGGUAGCCGUCCUGAGAGAGUGUACGGCCACAUUGGGACUGAGCUACGGGCCAGACUCCUGCGGGUGGCAGCAGUGGGGAAUAUUGCACAAUGGGAGCCAGCCUGAGGCAGCGAGGCCGCGGGGGGGAUGACGGCCUUCGGGUUGUAAGCACCUCUCGCUAGGGACGAAGCGUUUUUGUGACGGUACCUGGAGAAGAAGCACCGGCUAACUACGUG